GCCUUGGUGGUGGAAUGGUAGACACGAGGGACUUAAAAUCCCUUGGGCAUCGCGCCCGUGCGGGUUCAAGUCCCGCCCGAGGUA
rnacentral:tRNA from 1 species